CAAAAAUGAAGCAUUUGUUGGAAGUAAAGCUACACAUUUUAGAGAUCGUCUUAGAUCAAACCCUGACUUAUAAACUUCUUCUGCAUUCAGAAAUAUAGCAAGAAAAUAAUACUGUAAACAGGAGUGGAAUAUGUAAAACUAUGCAGACAUGCAUUGCGUGCAAGUUGCCGGAAAGACAGAAUUGUUUAUAAUUAUAUGGCAUCUGCAUGUGUAAGAACUCAACAUAGUUUUUUAAGGUUACAGAACACCUUUGAGCGUUAAUUUUGCCUAAAUUGUUUUUACUGGUUUCCGUGAAAGCAUUAUAGACUGGUUCUACUAUCUGACCAAGUUUGAACAAAAAAUGUUGAAAACUCGCAGAGUUAUUUAAUAAAAUACAUUAAUUUUCGCUGUAAUAAGAAAAACAUUGAAAAUGUAAUAUUCAAAUUCAAUUUUCUCCCGAAGAAUUUUACGCCAAUUACUGAUUUUCAAACGAGUUGUUCUCCUGCGGGUUUAAACGACAUAGCUACAGACGUCAGUUUCAAAUUUGUGUUCGGCGUUUUUCUAAUUUUGGAUAUUUUAAUAAUAAGGAGCAAUUCACUCAAACGAUUCAGAAAUAUGUUGCAGUCGUCAAAGAAAUUGCCAUAUCAGCGGAAUGACGAAAUAAACAAAAAUUUCCGAACACUAUUUUUUAGAACAACUGUUUUGCUGUAUAAAAAUUAUAUUUUCAUAAAUAUAUCUUAAAACUAGCAGGAACAUAACUCAAAAGCGUAAAGGUACCGC
rnacentral:lncRNA from 1 species